CUUGUUUCUCCAAAGCCAUGUAAUCAACUCCUGCGACUUGUCAGCUAAUUUUGUGGUGUGAUGUGCUCACAGAAAGCUUUCUCUUGCUGAGGAAAGGCAAUUUCCUACUUCUUUCCCUGGACCCUUCUCCUCCCUUCUAAACUAUCGCCACUUCAAGUCCAGCCUCUCCACAGAGCAGUAAGACGAGUUCCGUCUGUGGUGACCGCUGUGCAGUGGUGCUUGGAAGUUAAGGACAAAAUUUCAGCCCUCAAAGAACCCCAUGUAAUGGAGGAGACAGAUGAACAAACGAGUGACAGGGAAGUGGGAGAAGCUAGCACAGAAUGCUGGGGGAGGAGAAGGUUGACUCCCAGCUCUGAUCAAGUCUUAAAGCAUGAAGACUUCUACCAGAAACUUGGAGAGGACAUUCCAAGCAGAGGGAACAGCAAGCGCAAAGAAGAGGGUUCAGCGCGGGUGUUGGAGAAGGCAUUCGGGAUACUGCAGGCACUUCUGUGCUUCUGAAACCAAUGGCAGAUCACACUGACUCUGCUGGUGCUGG
rnacentral:lncRNA from 1 species